AGCCUGUGAAGGUAAGCAAAUCUCAAAAAUAAACGUCUCAGUUCGGAUUGUAGUCUGCAACUCGACUACAUGAAGCUGGAAUCGCUAGUAAUCGCGGAUCAGAAUGCCGCGGUGAAUACGUUCCCGGGUCUUGUACACACCGCCCGUCACACCAUGGGAGUCGGAAAUGCCCGAAGCCAGUGACCCAACUGAAAGGAGGGAGCUGUCGAAGGCAGGUCUGAUAACUGGGGUGAAGUCGUAACAAGGUACC
rnacentral:rRNA from 1 species